UAGCGAGCGACAGACAGGUCGUCAUUGUCUGACGGCUUCGCUAGCCACCACCACCUACGCCGCUUUCGGACGCUGCAUCGUGGCCACUCCGACAAUAGCGGCCGCCCAUGAAGCCCAGUGGCUCCCUGAGGCCCAUGAAGUCCCCCGAAGUCCGGGCCUUGAGGGGGGGAGAGUGUGGGAGCCGAGGGUGAAAGAUGAGGCAGACGGCACGUGACAGGCGGUCGGCGGAGAAGACACGAGCUGGCGCGAGACAGUGCGUGCUGAGCGAGGCUGAAGCUGAACAAGAACGUCGGGGGCCAAGCUGUCUGGCCUGGCCCAUGGCGAACCCUGGAGCGGUCCACCAGCGAGGUCUGGAGCAAGACCGGUAAAAACGGCAAGCCCUGGCCAUAUGACUUGGGCUAUGAUGAUCCCGGGGUGAUUCCGCAGCGAGACUCGGGCAUUGAUAGCCCGGGAUAGCCAGCCUACGCAGCGCUAACGUGGGAAAGGCGAUCCGCAGGCCUGGACACGGACUUCGACUGUGAGCUCUGAUCGACGGGCGACAACAAGGGUCGGCGGGCCUGAACUGCCGGUUCUCGACGAUGGGCAACCGAGAGAGUCCCUAACUGCAAAACUGCACCACGAAGACCAAGGGCUUGUGACCGUCAAAUAGAAAGCCUGGCGUGCUGACGGCUAGGCUUCGACGACGUCUGUCUGUCCCCAACCACGUGCCUGGACACCGGCUGCCACGCUGAUGCCCUGCCUUUGACAUCUGGCCAGUUGCCGACCCCGUGCCUGGACACUGAUUGAAGACCUGCAAAGG